rnacentral:lncRNA from 1 species
AAUAACUUGAUGUUUUAUCUUUCAUAUUUAGAUCUUUAAUUUUUCUGGAGUCUCCUUAGAUGGGGAUACUGUUCUAAUUUUCUCCACAUGGUGAAUCACUUUCCCCUACUCCAUCUCUAAACAAUCUGGCUGUUCCUUAUAAAAUUGCAAUCUUCCCUUAUGCCAUAUAUUAGGCUCCAUGUACCUAUGGGUCUGACUCUUGCCUCUCCCCCCUGUUUCAUGAAUCUGUUUCUCUGCUUUGGUACCAAUAUCAAACUAUUUUUCAUUACUACCAGUUUGUAAUUCUUCUCAAUGAGGGGUAAGGCAAUUCUCUCCUUCUUCUUUUCUAAACUUGACUUAAUUAAUAUGGAUCUCUCUUCCUCCAACAUUUUGGAAUACAUGUUUCAAGUUCUUCAAAAAGCCCAGCUGGGAUCUGACAGCCUUUAAUUUAUAGAUUAACAUGGGAAUAACUAUUACCAUUAAGAUACAAGGUUGCCCAUUCAAGAACAUGGAAUAUUUCCAUUUAUUCAGAUCAUUUUUAUGUUUUCCAUUAGAAUGUUAAAGUUGUCUUCAUAGAAGUUAUGCAUAUCCUAAGUUAAAUAAUUUGUAGAUACCUUAUAAUCUUUGCUGCUUUGUGUAUGUCCCUUAAUUUGGAUGAGGCUUGGGUUCUGGAUCUUGCUGUGUCACUGAUUAUGCUGCAUGAUUUUAGGCAAGUUAUUCACUGCUUCUCAGUACCAGUUUUCUCACCCAUUAAAGGACCGGAUUGAAGUUUAUGUUCUUCAUGGUAACACGGGUAAUAACAAUAACAAACCCAGAUUAAAGUUUCAUAAUAUGCCAGCCACUGUACUGGGCACACUCCCUGCAGAUAUAUCGCCUGAUAGGAAGGUGACUACAUGUACAGCACUUAGCAUGCCUGGUACAUUGUAAGCACUCAAUACAUGGUAGCAAUCAUGGUGAUCUUGCCUAUUUAAAAUUGAGAGUUGGAAUCUUAGAGAGGUGAAGCAAUUUGCCCAGGCUCACACAGCUGGACUGAGAUGUAAGAAACACUAACACCUGGAGAUGAUUCUCUUCCAAAGCAAAGACUCUGUCAGCCCUACGGUCUCGAAGGAUUUGAGUUACCACCUCACAAAUGCUGGUUAUCUUGACUUCUGGAGCUCAUGCCAGACUCCUGAAUACCAGAGGCCAUGAAUGACGUCCAGGGCUUCAUUGUGCAGCUAGGGUUACCAUCAGCUCUGGCCACAUGCGUUUGCUCUUGUAAAACAUCUUUUUUCCUAGAAGUCCAAUGUGUUCCUGGAUGUCGCUGGCUGAUAGUGGAGUCAGAUAACAGCCUGGGAAGGCAGCCGAUAAUUACAGGACAGGAAGUGGGUGCCAUCCAGCCAGCUGGAUGAGAAUCAGCACCUCUCUCAGAGACUGUGCAUGAAGAUUGAGGCAAGCUCUCUCUGAAGGAGGAAAAUACAGCCACUGGCAGCUCCAGGGAUGUCUUCCUUAGGGCAGGGUCUCUUUUUCAGUAACCAUCUCAAUUUCUGUAAAGGACUCUGAUUAGUUCUGCGUGAGUCAGGGGUCCGCACAAAGAAAAUGGAAAGUUGGGCCAUGUGAUUCAGUCUUGUAGAGUGUGAAAGAGAAUUUCCCCAAAGAAAGAUGGAGGGCCAAAGGGAAAAAAACGUAGUCGAUGUCCACUGCCCUUCCUAUGCUAUUCCCCAAAGAUCUGGUGGGCACAUAGAGCCCUAGCUGACUCCAUGACCUAUUUGGUAUCAUUUCCUGCCAUCCCCAUUCUCCUACUACCCAUCCUGUGCUCUAGACACUGGUUCACGUGCUAUUCAACUGUUUGAAUAGCACAUCUUCACAUCUCUGAACCUCUGUGCUAGCUGUUCCUCUGCCAGAAUGCAAUGUGGUCCGUUCCUUCCUAGAACUCUCUCUCUCUAUGUUCGCCCCCACCCCCAAGCAAAUUAAGUACCUUCCCACAGCAAUAUAUGCCAGUUUAUUCUAUCACAUAGUAAUUACUUUUCCAAGAAGUUCUUAUUUGUCUUCAGGCUAGACUUGAGGUUAUUGAGAGAAGGAAUUAAUAGUGUCUGAUUCAUCUUUGUGCAAGUAAACGUGACUCUAUAGCAUACACUAUUUAUUUACCCAGUAUCCACCUUCUCCUUCCUUGCAACUGAACUCUGACUUGGAGGACUUUUUGCCCAGCUAAAUGUUCACUAGCUCAGCCUUCCUUGCAGCCAAGAAUUCACAUAUGACACAGUUCCUGGCCCAUGAGAUAUACAUUCAUGCAUUGCUUAACAACAGGGAUACAUUCUGAGAAAUGCAUCAUUGUGCAAACAUCAUAAAGUGAGCUUACACAGACAUAGAUGGCAUAGCCCACUACACACCCAGGCUAUAUGGUACAUCCUAUUGUUCCUAGGCUACAAACUUGGAAAACAUGUUGCUGUACUGAGUACUGUAGGCAAUUCUAACACCAUGGUAAGUAUAAUAUUUGUGUUUCUAAGCAUAGAAAAAGUACAGUACAAAUACAGUAUUAUAAUCUUAUGGAACAUUGUUGUAUACGUGGUUCAUUGCUGACUGAAACAUUGUUAUGCAGUGCAUGACUAUAACUGGACAUCUGCUUGGAUGGAAGGCAGUCUCUGAACAGCUUUUUUCUUUCUCAUUAAAAGAGAUCACAUAAGUCUGGCACUACCUUUCCCCCACUCCUUCCUGCCUUAUGUAUGCACUUGGUAUUUGGGAGUAUGACAGUCAUCUUGUAAACAAGAGGAAAAGAUCAAGAGAAUCAUCUUGGCAUGAUGGAGGUGCUCAACUUAUGCCUGCAACCACCUGCCUCCUGAUGUUAAGUCAAGACAAUUUUUUCCAUCCUUGUUGUUCCCCUGUAUUUGGAGUAGCUCAAGUAGUAUGAUACUCUCAGUUUUGUAAGAGUCAUUGUGGAAUAGGGCACCCAAUCUGAUUCCAAGAUUUGAGAAGUUGCUUGUACACAAAAGGCACACAUACCUGAUUUGCAAUUGUAGCUAUUUAAUAAUUAAAUAUUUUUCCAUGUAUAUGUGUUAUUUUUAGUAUCUAUUAAUUUGUUAGCACAUAAAUGUUAUGAAGUUAUAUGAAACUAACUACUUAAUAUAACUGUGAGAAUUUUUUUUGGCUUAAGACACUAGAAAGUUUACUAAGACAGAGUAUACCUUUAACUAAGAGUGUUCAGAAGACCCUGACUUAAGUAAUAAAUGAAUAAACAUAAAAGGGAGGUUUACUGGUGCAGAGUGGAAUGAAGAGGUCAUUUGAGGAAUAGCAGAGUGACUCUCCUUUGUUCUUCCUCUUAAAAAGGAGAGGCCUCCUCUUUAUAAAGAAAUCUUUAUUUUUUUAGAGAUAGAUAGGGUCUCACUAUGUUGCCCAAGCUGGCCUUGAACUCCUGGGCUCAAGCAAUCUUCCUGCCUUGGCCUCCCAAGUAGCUGGGACUACAGGCGCAUGCCACUGUACCAGGGCAUGAUUCUUCUUUUUUAAAUGCCAGAUUGUAAUUGCCAUAUUACUUCCCACUGUGUUUAUGUAACCGCGAGCUUCCGCUGCACUUUCUGCAUUGAAAGAGUUUUCUAGCUUCAUUGGCACCUCACAGUUUCCACUCCCACAGCCUUCUGGGAAGCAUACCUCCUCCACAAAGCCUCUCUUGACUAGGAGGAAGUCUCAUGAUUUUUGUACUUUCCCCUUCAUCUCAAACGCAGCAUCACGAGCUCUUUGCACAGGCAGAAAUGAUAGGCUGGUGAGCUCAGCGGUAUGAAGGAUCUUGCCUCUCAUUAGUGAUUGUGUGUUUUUCCUUCUCUCUAGUGUAGAUGUCUUUGUUUCAGACUAUAAACUCUUAGGUGAGUGCUUGAAUCAGCCAAAAGCCAACCUCAUUUUAAAAAAUUUGACAACUAUUUGUUGAGGACCAAGUAUGUGUCAAGCACAUCCUUUUUGAUGAUGAGUUUGCCACAGACAGCCCUUGCCUUCAUCUUGGCAGCCAGGGCUCCGUGAGGUGCUCUGCACCAGUCUGGGGGUACCAUUCACAUAGACAUUUGCAGGGCAUCCAGGACUUCUGCAUCAUGGCAGGCCUCCUGACAGAUCUUUCCAAUUUCUAGUGAAUAUGAGAUAACCAAAGGCCACUGAAUAAAGCAGUUUAAAGCUUAGGCUUUGGUUCCAAAUUCCAUCUCAAUCAUUUACCUGCAAGUUCACUCAAUGCUCUGAGCCUCAUUUUCUCACUUGGAAAAAGGAAUUCUGGAGCCUCACAGAAUUAUU